rnacentral:rRNA from 1 species
AUUGAACGCUGGCGGCAUGCUUUACACAUGCAAGUCGAACGGUAACAGGGUGCUUGCACCGCUGACGAGUGGCGAACGGGUGAGUAAUGCGUCGGAACGUGCCGAGUAGUGGGGGAUAACGCAGCGAAAGUUGUACUAAUACCGCAUACGUACUGAGGUAGAAAGUGGGGGACCUUCGGGCCUCACGCUAUUCGAGCGGCCGACGUCUGAUUAGCUAGUAGGUGAGGUAAAGGCUCACCUAGGCGACGAUCAGUAGCGGGUCUGAGAGGAUGAUCCGCCACACUGGGACUGAGACACGGCCCAGACUCCUACGGGAGGCAGCAGUGGGGAAUUUUGGACAAUGGGCGAAAGCCUGAUCCAGCCAUGCCGCGUGUCUGAAGAAGGCCUUCGGGUUGUAAAGGACUUUUGACGGGGAGGAAAUCCCCAGCGUUAAUACCGCUGGGGGAUGACAGUACCUGAAGAAUAAGCACCGGCUAACUACGUGCCAGCCGCCGCCGUAAUAC